AGCGAACGCUGGCGGCAGGCCUAACACAUGCAAGUCGAACGAAUCUUUCGGGGUUAGUGGCGGACGGGUGAGUAACACGUGGGAACGUGCCUUUAGGUUCGGAAUAACUCAGGGAAACUUGUGCUAAUACCGAAUGUGCCCUUCGGGGGAAAGAUUUAUCGCCUUUAGAGCGGCCCGCGUCUGAUUAGCUAGUUGGUUGAGGUAAUGGCUCACCAAGGCGACGAUCAGUAGCUGGUCUGAGAGGAUGAUCAGCCACAUUGGGACUGAGACACGGCCCAAACUCCUACGGGAGGCAGCAGUGGGGAAUCUUGCGCAAUGGGCGAAAGCCUGACGCAGCCAUGCCGCGUGAAUGAUGAAGGUCUUAGGAUUGUAAAAUUCUUUCACCGGGGACGAUAAUGACGGUACCCGGAGAAGAAGCCCCGGCUAACUUCGUG
rnacentral:rRNA from 1 species